rnacentral:rRNA from 1 species
CGCUGGCGGCGUGCCUAACACAUGCAAGUCGUGCGAGAAAGUCUUCGGGAGCGAGUAAAGCGGCGCACGGGUGAGUAACACGUAGGUAACCUGCCCCCCAGUCUGGAACAACUAGAGGAAACUCUAGCUAAUGCCGGAUGAGACCACGAUCCCUUCGGGGGUUGCGGCCAAAGAUGGCCUCUACUUGUAAGCUAUCGCUGAGGGAUGGGCCUGCGGGCCAUUAGCUUGUUGGUGAGGUAACGGCUCACCAAGGCUGUGAUGGCUAGCUGGUCUGAGAGGAUGACCAGCCACACUGGGACUGAGACACGGCCCAGACUCCUACGGGAGGCAGCAGUGGGGAAUAUUGCGCAAUGGGCGAAAGCCUGACGCAGCGACGCCGCGUGGGUGAUGAAGGCCUUCGGGUCGUAAAGCCCUGUCGCAGGGGAAGAAUAAGCAUCGGUAUAAUACGCCGGUGCCCUGACGGUACCCCGCAAGAAAGCACCGGCUAACUCCGUG